rnacentral:rRNA from 1 species
GACGAACGCUGGCGGCGUGCUUAACACAUGCAAGUCGAACGAAGUGGCGAAAGGGUGAGUAACGCGUAAUCAACCUGCCCUUCAGAGGGGGACAACAGUUGGAAACGACUGCUAAUAACGUAUACUGCAGGAGGGGCUUCGGUCUGAUUAGCUAUUUGGAGGGGUAACGGCCCACCAAGGCGAUGAUCGGUAGCCGGUCUGAGAGGAUGAACGGCCACAUUGGGACUUGUACACGGCCCAGACUCCUACGGGAGGCAGCAGUGGGGAAACUUCCGCAAUGGACGAAAGUCUUACGGAGCAACGCCGCGGGAGUGAUGGCGGCUUUCGGGUUGUAAAGCUCUGGUAAUCGGGACGCAGUACCGGAAUAGAAAGCCACGGCUAACUACGUGCCAGCAGCCGCGGUAAUUC